CACAUGACUUAUUUCUUCAUGGCAUUAUUUAUCUAACAGAAGCAAAGCCAAAAUAUUGAAGUACUGUGUGAAAUACUAAGUACAACUCACAAUUCAACAAUGCACCACUUUUUCUUAUCACUUUCUAAUGAUCAUUUCAUUUAAUUUAUUUAAAUUACGCUCUUAAUUUCUGUGAAAGAAGUAAGGUUGUACUUGAUUUUUACUCAUUGUUUCUGUAUUUUGGCUUAAUUUUUGAAUAAACAAUGGCGCGGUAGUUAUUCUCAGGCUGCGUAUACCUGCCUGCUUUGCACCUGAUGAUUUUUUUAAGUUAUAUUCUCAUAAGUAAGACCUUAAAAUUGAAUUGGGGUAUACUUUCUUUUUUACCAUAACAGUAUAUAUAAAUAAACACUAUCAUCCUAUUGAUCAUACCAAUUCUGCACCACUGUGCAGCUAGCAGUUAGCAUAUUGGAGAAUUUAGAAGCUAGCAUAGUAGCCCAGAAGCUAUGCUACUAAAGUACAGAUAAUUUUUAAAACGCUGUGUGGAAAGCCAGUCAGCAGAGGCCACAGCCAGUGCACUCCGCAGCCUCUCUGGCAGCCAGACCUCGCUGCGCUGAGGAAACUGCACCCUGCAACACAAACAACCCAUCAGCCACAGCAACGCUUCUGCGCUUCUGCUGCUAAAUCCCGGUACCUCCCUGCGAGGUACAACCCUGCAACACCCACACAGCUUUGGGAAAGUGCUGUCAUCUUCCCCCCCUGGCUUUAAUCUGGUUUUCCAGAGUGAUGAAAUAUUCAAAAGCAUUGUUUCGCGGGGCCAUUCUACUGUGGCAUUUGUCCUAAAUAUUGCUGCGCUCAUUUGCUGGGCGGCGACAGUGAUGAUUCCAUAAAGCAUGUGAAUGGAGAGAGUUGUCAUGUGAAUGCGGCUGAGCACUGAAGGCUCAUAAUCUUAAAUCAGAGGGGAGCACUGCUGACUGGCACAGCAGGGGUUCCAGCGGAACGACUACAACUGCUAAUUUGUCUCAGAACGGCCUUUUACGAUUUCAAGGGCACCAUAACUGUUAGCUGGAGAGAUGUUGUUGUUUUUUUAAUUUAUUUUCUGAAAGUAUCCCAGCCACACACAGCGUGUGGUAAGGUAAGAUAACAGUACGAAGGCCGUAUCUUUGGGCGGUCCGAUGAUAUCUUCAGGAAUACCUGCAUUUUAAAUAUACAAGCCUUCUCUGAGCGCACACUUAAUGUCACUGGAGCAUAAUAG
rnacentral:lncRNA from 1 species